UCGGAUAUGGUGUAACGGCUAACAUUGCCGCCUCUCAUUCAUAUGAGCGCGGCAGCUCGGGGUUCGAUUCCCCGUAUCCGAA
rnacentral:tRNA from 1 species